GAUACCUCCACUCAUCUGAGAGUUAAGCUGAUUCCUGGAGGGGAAACCUGUUGGUUAUCUUGAGCAAUGUAUUAUAUUAGGCAGUGCAUGAUACUGGAUGAAAAUGUGGGCUGAGGGAGUCCAAUGGCAGGAUGGAAGCUUGGUGCUGCCCUCCCAGCUGAGUGACCCAGUCUGCCCGUGCCGUGAAGGUGCUGAAAGAGUGUAUCCGCCUGAAGCCGGACGACGCCACCAUCCCUCUCCUCGCUGCCAAGCUCUGCAUGGGCUCCCUGCACUGGUUGGAAGAGGCUGAAAAGUUUGCCAAAACUGUCGUUGAUGUGGGAGAGAAAACGUCAGAGUUCAAGGCCAAAGGCUACUUAGCUCUGGGGCUCACGUACAGUCUGCAGGCCACUGACGCUUCUUUGCGAGGGAUGCAGGAGGUCCUACAGAGAAAGGCGCUUCUUGCAUUUCAGAGGGCCCACAGCCUGUCACCCACAGAUCACCAAGCAGCUUUCUACCUGGCUCUGCAGCUUGCCAUCUCCAGACAGAUCCCAGAGGCUCUGGGGUAUGUCCGCCAAGCUCUUCAGCUUCAAGGUGACGAUGCCAACUCCCUGCACCUCCUUGCCCUCCUGCUGUCAGCACAGAAGCAUUACCAUGACGCUCUGAACAUCAUCGACAUGGCCCUGAGCGAAUACCCAGAAAAUUUCAU
rnacentral:sRNA from 1 species